UUGGUUUUGAACAUCCACUUAUAUCAGCUUAAUGCGUCCCCUUUCAUGGUAAAAGCCACCAAUUCUACUCUCUAGAAUGGAGCCACAUGAUAGAUGUUGAAAUAUUGCUCCGCUUGAAAUAGUCAAUCUUAAGGUUCUGACCCAUCAAACGAUUGUAGAUGUAAUUUGGGUGGCUUAAUUAUAUCAGGUGGUGGAAAAUAAUUGGAUCCAUAUGUGGCUGUUGGGGAUCGUGGUUGACAUCCAUGUGGUGGUGGUUGUGGUGGAAAUUGAGGCCAUUGUUGUUAGAUUGGUCAAUUUCUCCACCAAACCAGUCAUCACGUUUUCCAUCAUGUCCUGCCUCUAAGAUAGGUGAUGAUGGAGAGAGGUGAGUUUGUCUAGUACUGCUUGGUUGGAAAUCUCCUCCACAUUAGAGUGUGUGGAGGAUGAUGCAGAGGUGGUUGUAGG
rnacentral:lncRNA from 1 species